CAGCCGCCGCGGGAAUACGUAGGUGGCAAGCGUUGUCCGGAAUUAUUGGGCGUAAAGGGCUCGCAGGCGGUUUCUUAAGUCUGAUGUGAAAGCCCCCGGCUCAACCGGGGAGGGUCAUUGGAAACUAGGAAACUUGAGUGCAGAAGAGGAGAGUGGAAUUCCACGUGUAGCGGUGAAAUGCGUAGAGAUGUGGGGGAACACCAGUGGCGAAGGCGACUCUCUGGUCUGUAACUGACGCUGAGGAGCGAAAGCGUGGGGAGCGAACAGGAUUAGAUACCCCAGUAGUCCCUGUCUCUUAUAC
rnacentral:rRNA from 1 species